rnacentral:rRNA from 1 species
GCUCUUGGGUCCGUAAACCUCUUUUCCUCAAGGAAGAAGAAAGUGACGGUACUUGAGGAAUAAGCAUCGGCUAACUCCGUGCCAGCAGCCGCGGUAAUACGGAGGAUGCAAGCGUUAUCCGGAAUGAUUGGGCGUAAAGGGUCUGCAGGUGGAACUGAAAGUCUGCUGUUAAAGAGUUUGGCUUAACCAAAUAAAAGCGGUGGAAACUACAGAACUAGAGUGCGGUAGGGGCAAAAGGAAUUCCUGGUGUAGCGGUGAAAUGCGUAGAUAUCAGGAAGAACACCGGUGGCGAAAGCGUUUUGCUAGACCGUAACUGACACUGAGGGACGAAAGCUAGGGGAGCGAAUGGGAUUAGAUACCCCAGUAGUCCUAGCCGUAAACGAUGGAUACUAGGCGUGGCUUGUAUCGACCCGAGCCGUGCCGGAGCUAACGCGUUAAGUAUCCCGCCUGGGGAGUACGCACGCAAGUGUGAAACUCAAAGGAAUUGACGGGGGCCCGCACAAGCGGUGGAGUAUGUGGUUUAAUUCGAUGCAACGCGAAGAACCUUACCAAGACUUGACAUCCUGCGAAUCCCGGUGAAAGCUGGGAGUGCCUUAGGGAGCGCAGAGACAGGUGGUGCAUGGCUGUCGUCAGCUCGUGUCGUGAGAUGUUGGGUUAAGUCCCGCAACGAGCGCAACCCUCGUUUUUAGUUGCCAGCAUUAAGUUGGGCACUCUAGAGAGACUGCCGGUGACAAACCGGAGGAAGGUGGGGAUGACGUCAAGUCAGCAUGCCCCUUACGUCUUGGGCUACACACGUACUACAAUGCUACGGACAGAGGGCAGCGAGCCAGGGAUGGCAAGCGAAUCCAGAAACCGUAGCUCAGUUCAGAUCGAAGGCUGCAACUCGCCUUCGUGAAGGAGGAAUCGC